GAGUAGCAGAAUGUCACUGCUUUGAAUCAAGUAAUUUUCAUUAAUCUUUCUUGAAACUUGUAUUUUUUUCUCUUUAUUUUGGACUUAGUAGACCAUUUUCUUAGCUUGGUUGUUUCUUUUUCUUUUUUGGAACAGGUGAAAAUGAUAGUCAGAAACUGGUUUUGGAUUAAAUCUAUAUCAUAGAUGCUCUAAUUUCUAAAGUGAAUAUUUAGAUUUUGGCAUUCAAGUAAGCAUUUUUCUCUUGAGAGGUUAAAUUUCAGAAUCUCUCCAGAUUGGUUCUUCAAUAUAUUCAAUAAUAUCAAAGGAAAUAAUAUAUAGUCACCUUCCAUUUAUCAAAGCUGCUUUAUAUUGUAAUGGGUUUGCACAUGUGCUUGUAUUAUCCUCCUACUAGAACUCUGUAUUAUUCUGCAUUCAUUAAUCACCUUGGGCAUGUAGAAUCCAGUAAAAUCAUCACAGGAAAACUGAAAAUAAACAAUUGACCAU
rnacentral:lncRNA from 1 species